CAUGGUUUCUAUCAGAGCCCAAGCCAGUCCAUCACAAAACCGGAGCUCUUUACUAAUACCCAAAACCUCAACCUCCGUCGCCCCACUCUCUCCCCCUCUCCUGGUGUACCCAAAGCCCUACCGCCAUCCUCCUCCGCCCAUUCGGCCCCGACACGGGAUUGAAACCCUAGCUCGGCAUCGCCAUGAUCUGUGCGAUCUCCGGUGAAGUGCCGGAGGAGCCGGUGCUCUCAAAGAAAUCAGGGCUUCUGUUCGAGCGCCGGCUGAUCGAGCGCCACAUUGCGGAUUACGCGAAGUGUCCAGUUACCAAGGAGGCGCUCACAAUGGACGAUAUCCUGCCUGUGAAGACAAAUAAGGCAGCGAAGCCUAGACCCUUGCAAGCUGCGAGCAUCCCUGGGCUGCUUGGAAUGUUCCAAAAUGAGUGGGAUGCUUUGAUGCUGUCCAAUUUUGCACUGGAACAGCAAUUGCAUACAGCAAGGCAAGAACUAAGUCAUGCGCUAUACCAGCAUGAUGCUGCAUGCCGUGUUAUAGCAAGAUUAAAGAAGGAAAGGGAUGAGGCCAGAAUGCUCUUGGCUCAGGCUGAAAGACAGAUUCCUUCAUCAAUGGCAUCUGCUGCUAAUGCAAACAAUAUUGUCAGCAAUGGGAAAAGAGCUGCAGAGGAGGAGUUGGGCCCUGAUGGGAAAAGAAUUCGUCCAGGUAUAAAUCCUGGUAUGAUUGCAGAACUUACAGAGUGUAAUGCUAUGCUUUCAGGACAGCGGAAGAAGCGGCAGAUUUCACCAACAUUGGCGCCUAUUGAUGCAUUGGAGAGAUACACACAAAUUUCUAGUCAUCCCCUUCACAAGACUAACAAGCCGGGCAUACUAUCUGUCGAUAUCCAUCCUUCAAAGGAUAUAAUUGCAACUGGAGGGAUUGAUGCAAAUGCAGUACUUUUUGAUAGGUCAGCAGGUCAGAUCAUAUGUACGCUCACUGGACACUCAAAGAAGGUUACCAGUGUGAAAUUUGUUCCUCGGGAUGAGCUUCUUAUAUCUGGCUCAGGAGAUAAGACUGUUCGUAUUUGGCAAGGGACUGAAGAUGGGAAUUAUGAUUGUGUACAUGUCUUGAAAGACCAUAGUGCAGAGGUACAAGCGGUCACGGUCCAUGCUACCAAUAAUUACUUUGUGACUGCUUCCUUGGACAACACUUGGUGUUUCUAUGAUCUUGCUACUGGAUCAUGCCUCACUCAGGUUGGUGAAGCUUCAGGAGAAGAGGGCUACACUUCAGCUGCCUUUCACCCUGAUGGUCUUAUCCUUGGAACAGGCACUUCUGAAGCACUUGUUAGAAUUUGGGAUGUAAAAUCACAGUCAAAUGUUGCAAAAUUUGAUGGGCAUGCUGGAGCAGUCACUGCCUUGUCUUUUUCUGAAAAUGGUUAUUUCCUAGCGACUGCAGCUCUUGAUGGUGUUAAGCUGUGGGAUCUUCGGAAACUGAGGAACUUCAGAUCCUUUACUCCCUAUGACUCAGAUACACCAACAAAUUACCGUGGAAUUUGAUUUUAGUGGAAGCUAUCUUGCAAUUGCAGGUUCUGAUAUAAGGGUCUACCAAGUUGCAAAUGUAAAGCUGGAAUGGAAUCAUAUUAGGACAUUUGCCGAUUUAUCAGGCACAGGAAAAGUGACAUGCAUAAAGUUUGGAGCAGAUGCAAAAUACAUGGCUGUUGGUUCCAUGGACCGUAAUCUUCGAAUAUUUAGUCUCCCAGGGAAUGACUCAGAAGAACCCAGAUCACCAGGUCACUGAUUUCAAAUUACAGAUUAUCUGUGGCUGUAUCAUUUGACGACGCUGUCUGGUAUUUGGGGGAGUGCCCACACACCCCUGGGCUCAAGGUCAGCGCUUAACCCCUGGAUGCCCACCUCGUAUUGUAGGUGCAACAAAGAAGCCCUGAAUGGAAUUUUAUAUAGGAGUAUUGUCCUGUGAGACAAUGACGUAUUGUAGUUUUGAGUUGGUGUGAAAGCAUAGAGGCAUCUAUUCAGGGAGCAUUGUGAUUUUGACAUCGUCGCUUGUUUAUAUUCUAGCUUCAUUUGUGAGGGCUUUGCAAAGCUCCCCAGAAAAGGAGAGAGGGGCCUUAAGGACCCAGAGGAGAACAUGCUAAAUCUUUCCCGGACGAGAGCAGGCAUUGUUAGCUUAAAAAAAAUAGUAGUAAUAAACA